rnacentral:tRNA from 1 species
GGGGAUUUGGCUCAGUGGUAGAGCGCUUGCCUAGCAAGCACAAGGCCCUGGGUUCAGUCCCCAGCUCCU